rnacentral:rRNA from 2 species
UCAAGCUACUAAGGGCAUACGGUGGAUGCCUAGGCGCCAAGAGCCGAAGAAGGACGCGGUAAGCUGCGAAAAGCCACGGGGAACUGCAAGCAAGUAUUGAUCCGUGGAUAUCCGAAUGGGGAAACCCGGCCAUCGUCAUGGAUGGUCACCCGCAAGGGAGGGAACCUGGGGAACUGAAACAUCUAAGUACCCGGAGGAAGAGAAAUCAAACGAGAUGCCCACAGUAGCGGCGAGCGAAGAGGGCAGAGCCCAAACCGAGAAGCUCCGGCUUUUCGGGGUUGAGGACCGGCAGAAUCGAAGUCAGGCCUAGUUGAAUUACCUGGAAAGGUAAGCGAGAGAGGGUAAAAGCCCCGUAGACGAAAGGCAGAGCAGAGAGGCCGAGAUCCAGAGUACCACGAAGCACGAGGAAUUUUGUGGGAAGCAGGGGGGACCACCCUCCAAGGCUAAAAACUACUUGGCGACCGAUAGCGCAUAGUACCGUGAGGGAAAGGUGAAAAGAACCCCGGGAGGGGAGUGAAAUAGUACCUGAAACCGUAUGUCUACAAGCAGUCGAAGCGAAAGCGACGGCGUGCCUAUUGAAGAAUGAACCAACGAGUUAUCUGCACUAGCGAGGUUAAGUGGAAGACACGGAGCCGCAGCGAAAGCGAGUCUUAAGAGGGCGCUAGUUAGUGUAGGUAGACCCGAAACCGCAGUGAUCUACCCAUGUCCAGGUUGAAGCGCAGGUAAAAUUGCGUGGAGGACCGAACCGGUGAGCGUUGAAAAGCUUUCGGAUGAGAUGUGGGUAGGGGUGAAAUUCCAAUCGAACGCGGAGAUAGCUGGUUCUCCCCGAAAUAGCUUUAGGGCUAGCCUGAGGUAGUAAGUAUAGGCGGUAGAGCACUGAUCGGGCUAGGGGCCGUAAAGGUUACCGAACCCUGUCAAACUCCGAAUGGAUAUACUGUAGAGCCUUGGAGUCAGACUACGAGUGAUAAGAUCCGUGGUCAAAAGGGAAACAGCCCAGACCACCAGCUAAGGUCCCCAAUGUCGUACUAAGUGGAAAAGGAUGUGGGGUUUCAUAAACAACCAGGAUGUUGGCUCAGAAGCAGCCACCAUUUAAAGAGUGCGUAAUAGCUCACUGGUCGAGAGACCCUGCGCCGAAGAUUCCCGGGGCUAAAGUACGAAACCGAAGCUGUGGCUGUAUACGUAAAGUAUACGGGGUAGGGGAGCGUUCCCAUAGGGUAGAAGUCGAACUGGAAGGUUCGGUGGACUUGUGGGAAGUGAGAAUGUUGGUAUGAGUAGCGAAAAGAAAGGUGAGAAUCCUUUCCACCGAAAGCAUAAGGAUUCCUGAGCAACGAUCGUCGUCUCAGGGUAAGUCGGGACCUAAUCCGAGGCAGAGAGCGUAGGAGAUGGACAACUGGUUGAUAUUCCAGUACCGGUAGUAAUUGUUUGAGCAAUGGAGUGACACAGAAGGGCAGGCAAGCAUGCGAAUGGAAGAGCAUGUGUAAGCGUGUAGGGUGGUGCAUAGGCAAAUCCGUGCACUGAAAGCCUGAGGCGUGAUGCGGAGUGAGCAGAGAUGCGAGCGAAGUUGUUGACCCCACACUGUCGAGAAAAGCUUCUAGUGAGAGAGCUACCGCCCGUACCGUAAACCGACACAGGUAUGCGGGGAGAGAAUCCUAAGGUGCGCGGGAGAACCCUCGUUAAGGAACUCGGCAAAAUGUACCCGUAACUUCGGGAUAAGGGUAGCCACUGUUGUGAAGUCCCAUGCGGAUGGAGCAUAGAGUGGUCGCAGAGAAGAGGCCCAAGCGACUGUUUACCAUAAACACAGGUGCCUGCUAAAGCGAAAGCUGACGUAUAGGUGCUGACACCUGCCCAGUGCCGGAAGGUUAAGGAAGGAUGUUCGGAGUAAUCCAAAGCAUUCGACUGAAGCCCCGGUGAACGGCGGCCGUAACUAUAACGGUCCUAAGGUAGCGAAAUUCCUUGUCGGGUAA